UACGAAGGGGGCUAGCGUUGUUCGGAAUUACUGGGCGUAAAGGGCUCGUAGGCGGCCAACUAAGUCAGACGUGAAAUCCCUCGGCUUAACCGGGGAACUGCGUCUGAUACUGGAUGGCUUGAGUGUGGGAGAGGGAUGCGGAAUUCCAGGUGUAGCGGUGAAAUGCGUAGAUAUCUGGAGGAACACCGGUGGCGAAGGCGGCAUCCUGGUCCAUUACUGACGCUGAGUGAGCGAAAGCCAGGGGAGCAAACGGG
rnacentral:rRNA from 1 species